UUUCAUUUUUCACUUUUUACUCUCGGUAAACUUCUCUCGCUAAUCGUCGGGAUCGGACUUUGAGUUUUUAGACGUCGACUUUAAGGUAAGACCUCGAGUUUUUAAGUUAUUCUUUAGGUAUUUUUUACCUAGGUCAGGAUGUCUAGUAGUAGCAGUAGCGACACUUCGUCCUCAUCAUCCUCGAGGAGUACUCCCGAGGACGUAGGAGGCUCAAUCAUACCUAUGGCUGUCCCAAUUAAUGCCCAACCUCGGGCACAAAGUAUCCCGACCCCUUUUAGGUAUCCCGAGGUCCCCUGUAAAUUUAAAGAACAUCUAGCAAUAUCGACGGCUAGGGAGCAUGGGCUCAUGCCCAAAUGCGACGUUAGGACACCAGGGGUAGAGGAUAGGAUGGCCUUUGCUCGGGAUGGAGAGUUCGUGAUUUUUAGGGACUCACUUAAGGGGGGAUUUCGAUGGCCUCUGCAUCCCUUUUUUGUGGCCUUAUUGGUCGAGC
rnacentral:lncRNA from 1 species